GAUGAACGCUGGCGGCGUGCCUAACACAUGCAAGUCGAGCGAAGCGAUCUGAUGGAAGUUUUUCGGAUGGAAGUCAGAUUGACUGAGCGGCGGACGGGUGAGUAACGCGUGGGUAACCUGCCUCAUACAGGGGGAUAACAGUUAGAAAUGGCUGCUAAUACCGCAUAAGCACACAGGACCGCAUGGUCCGGUGUGAAAAACUCCGGUGGUAUGAGAUGGACCCGCGUCUGAUUAGCUAGUUGGUAAGGUAACGGCCCACCAAGGCGACGAUCAGUAGCCGGACUGAGAGGUUGGCCGGCCACAUUGGGACUGAGACACGGCCCAG
rnacentral:rRNA from 1 species